rnacentral:rRNA from 1 species
UGAGUUUGAUCAUGGCUCAGGAUGAACGCUAGCGGGAGGCUUAACACAUGCAAGUCGAGGGGCAGCACGGGUAGCAAUAUCUGGUGGCGACCGGCGGAUGGGUGCGUAACGCGUAUGCAACCUUCCUUAUGCAGGGGGAUAGCCCAUGGAAACGUGGAUUAAUACCCCGUAAUAUCAUCGAAUCGCAUGUUUUGGUGAUUAAACGAAUUUCGGCAUAAGAUGGGCAUGCGUCUGAUUAGCUAGUUGGCAGGGUAACGGCCUGCCAAGGCUACGAUCAGUAGGGGUUCUGAGAGGAUUAUCCCCCACACUGGAACUGAGACACGGUCCAGACUCCUACGGGAGGCAGCAGUGAGGAAUAUUGGUCAAUGGGCUAAAGCCUGAACCAGCCAUCCCGCGUGCAGGAUGACAGCCUUAUGGGUUGUAAACUGCUUUUCUACAUAAAGAACGGGUCAUACGUGUAUGGCAUUGACGGUAGUGUAGGAAUAAGCGUCGGCUAACUCCGUGCCAGCAGCCGCGGUAAUACGGAGGAUGCAAGCGUUAUCCGGAUUCAUUGGGUUUAAAGGGUGCGCAGGCGGAGAGAUAAGUCAGUGGUGAAAAACUGCCGCUCAACGGUAGUCUUGCCAUUGAUACUGUCUUUCUUGAGUAUGGAUGAGGUAGGCGGAAUGUGCAGUGUAGCGGUGAAAUGCAUAGAUAUUGCACGGAACACCAAUUGCGAAGGCAGCUUACUGGGCCAUUACUGACGCUCAGGCACCAAAACGUGGGAAUCAAACAGGAAUAGAUACCCUGGUAAUCCCCCCCUUAAACAAUGUUCACUCCCUGUUUUCCAAAAACUGUAAGCGGGUUAGUUAAAGCAUUAAGUGAACCACCUGGGGAGUACGAUCGCAAGGGUGAAACUCAAAGGAAUUGACGGGGGCCCGCACAAGCGGAGGAACAUGUGGUUUAAUUUGAUGAUACGCGAGGAACCUUACCUGGGCUUAAAUGCAGGCUGCAUGCUGUGGAAACACACUUCCCUUCGGGGCUGCCUGCAAGGUGCUGCAUGGUUGUCGUCAGCUCGUGCCGUGAGGUGUCGGGUUAAGUCCCAUAACGAGCGCAACCCUUACCGUUAGUUGCCAUCAUUAAGUUGGGCACUCUAGCGAGACUGCCCGGGUUAACCGGGAGGAAGGUGGGGAUGACGUCAAAUCAUCAUGCCCCUUAUGUCUAGGGCUACACACGUGCUACAAUGGUCGGUACAAUAAGACGCAAGCCCGCGAGGGGGAGCAAAACUGGAAAACCGAUCUCAGUUCGGAUUGUAGGCUGAAACUCGCCUACAUGAAGCUGGAGUUGCUAGUAAUCGCGAAUCAGCAUGUCGCGGUGAAUACGUUCCCGGGCCUUGUACACACCGCCCGUCACACCAUGAGAGUUGGCAAUACCCAAAGUACGUGAUCUAACCCGCAAGGGAGGAAGCGUCCUAAGGUAGGGUCAGCGAUUGGGGUGAAGUCGUAACAAGGUAACA